AUAAUCUAAUGAGGCAAGCUUUGACAGUGUUGAAUAAGGUUGAAGUCUUCAAACUUUGAGUGUCACAAUGCAUAUUUACUUAUGUAUGAGUUAUUAGUUCAUAUUUUAUUUUGGAUUUAAGUAUUGUUCAAAUAUAUUUCAAGUAUCAGUCUAUCUAUUUUUACCUUGUAAUAGUUUAAUUUUAAUUACAAUUAUGCAAAUUUGUUAAUAAUUAUAAAAAGAAAUUUAUUAAAGCAUUAUUAUAUAUAUACAAAUUUGGACAUCAUUAUUUUUACCAUCCCAGCCUCAUCUUAAUGAGAAAGAGGGUGGAGACAUUAUACUGACCAUCAAAUGGAAAGCCGUAAUUUUACCUUACGAAAGAAAAAGAGACGACGGAUUUGUUUUCUUGGGUUGAAGAGGUAACCAAAGGUAAUACCAUGGCUAAGCUGUGGGACAACCUUGUGUUAGGUUAGGUUUCCGUUUGGACAUCGAUGGGAGAAGCUCAUGCCAAUUUUCGGUGGAGAUUUCAGUAUCAUCCUUGUUCAUGGUUGUUCUCGAAUCCACCGAUGCUAGCUUCUCGUUUUCACGAAUGGUUGUCGAAGCAUGGGAUAGGCGACUUCUUUCUUCACCAUUGACAAUUCCAUCGUAAUGGAGGCCCAGAAAAAAGAAAAAUCAGUUGGAAAAAUUAGGACCACCAUUUGUGAGCUUUUCAUUGAAGAGUCUAAAUCAGGGCAAAGGUGAUUGAAGGCCUGCCGUGGGUGAUGGUGGUGGAUCAGGCCACCACCGUAAGGCCUGAAGUGGUGGAGCAGACCAGAACCCUUUGCCCCAUUGUCUCUUUCUUUCAGUGAAAUUAACCUACACUUGGUAGGUUCCAUGAGUUAUAAAUGGCAUUCAAUAGCCUAUCAACGCGGAGGGAUUCCUUGCUUUUACUGCUAUUUUAGCUUUGAGAUAAACAUCAUUUCACUUUUCGUAAUUUCGUUGGAAUUAUGAAAGAUUA